rnacentral:rRNA from 1 species
CCUACGGGAGGCAGCAGUGAGGAAUAUUGGUCAAUGGUCGGGAGACUGAACCAGCCAAGCCGCGUGAGGGAUGAAGGUACAGAGUAUCGUAAACCUCUUUUGUCAGGGAACAAAGGCGGGGACGUGUCCCCGGAUGAGUGUACCUGAAGAAAAAGCAUCGGCUAACUCCGUGCCAGCAGCCGCGGUAAUACGGAGGAGGAGAGCGUUAUCCGGGUGUAUUGGGGUUAAAGGGUGCGCAGGCGGUCUGUUCAGUCAGCGGUCAAAGCCCGGGGCCAAACCCCGGCCCGCCGUUGAAACUGGCAGUCUCGAGUUGGAGAGAAGUAUGCGGAAUGCGCGGUGUAGCGGUGAAAUGCAUAGAGAUCGCGCAGAACGCAGAUUGCGAAGGCAGCAUGACGGCUCCACACUGACGCGGAGGCACGAAAGCGUGGGUAUCGAACAGGAUUAGAUACCCCUGUAGUC